rnacentral:rRNA from 1 species
AGAGUUUGAUCCUGGCUCAGAACGAACGCUGGCGGCAGGCUUAACACAUGCAAGUCGAACGCUCACCUUCGGGUGGGAGUGGCAGACGGGUGAGUAACGCGUGGGAACGUACCCUUCGGUUCGGAAUAACCCAGGGAAACCUGGGCUAAUACCGGAUGCGCCCUCGGGCUUGCCCCGAGGGGAAAGGUUCACUGCCGAAGGAUCGGCCCGCGUCGGAUUAGCUGGACGGUGGGGUAACGGCCUACCGUGGCGACGAUCCGUAGCUGGUCUGAGAGGAUGAUCAGCCACACUGGGACUGAGACACGGCCCAGACUCCUACGGGAGGCAGCAGUGGGGAAUAUUGGUCAAUGGGCGCAAGCCUGAACCAGCCAUGCCGCGUGAGUGAAGAAGGCCUUAGGGUUGUAAAGCUCUUUCAGCGGGGACGAUCGUGACGGUACCCUCCGAAUCAGGCUCGGCUAACUCUGUGCCAGCAGCCGCGGUAAGACAGAGGAGCCAAGCGUUGUCCGGAUUGACUGGGCGUAAAGCGCACGCAGGCGGCACGGCGCGUGGGGUGUGAAAGCUGGUGGCUUAACUGCCAGUCGCCAUCCCAUACGGCCGCGCUGGAGCCUUGCAGAGGGCAGUGGAAUUGCCGGUGUAGUGGUGAAAUGCGUAGAGAUCGGCAGGAACACCCAGGGGGAAACCAGCUGCCUGGGCAAGCGCUGACGCUGAGGUGCGAGAGCGUGGGGAGCGAACCGGAUUAGAUACCCGGGUAGUCCACGCCGUAAACGAUGGGCACUAGGUGCCGGGGGGAGCGACCCCCUCGGUGCCGCAGCUAACGCGAUAAGUGCCCCGCCUGGGGAGUACGGCCGCAAGGCUGAAACUCAAAGGAAUUGACGG